rnacentral:rRNA from 1 species
UACGUAGGGUGCAAGCGUUGUCCGGAAUUAUUGGGCGUAAAGAGCUCGUAGGCGGUCUGUCGCGUCGGCUGUGAAAACCCGGAGCUCAACUCCGGGCCUGCAGUCGAUACGGGCAAACUGGAGUGUUGCAGGGGAGACUGGAAUUCCUGGUGUAGCGGUGGAAUGCGCAGAUAUCAGGAGGAACACCAAUAGCGAAGGCAGCUCGCUGGGACGUUACUGACACUGAGGCGCGAAAGCCAGGGGAGCAAACGGG